GCUAAAAGAACUAAGUUAUAGGCACACGAAACAAGUUGAGCUAUUUCACUAUCCAUUUUCGUGAGAUGAUGUGACAUAAUUAUAUAAAAUAGUGCAAUAGGGGUGAUAGGCCUGUCACAUCUUGUUAUAUCUUGAUAUCUCUGAACUAUAAUAGUAUUUAAGUAGAUUAAAGAGUGAUUAGGCUGUUUAAUAGUACGAAUUUAAAUAAAAAAGGCUUCUAAGGGUUAACAUUUAAGAAGAUUAGAUUUAACUAUUCAUAUUUUAAAAUUGUGUUAAUUAAGAGAUAAUUUAUUAACCGUGAACAAAAUUUAUAAUGUUAUUAUAAGUACUAAAAAGGUAUUGUAGAUGAACUCGGCAACACUCCCUUUAACUGUUUAUCAAAAACAUAGCCCGUAGUAUUUUUUGCGGGUGUUUUCUGCCCGCUGAUAUAUGUUGAAUGGCCGCAGUACCCUGACUGUGCAAAGGUAGCGUAAUCAUUUGACUUAUAAUUGAAGUCCUGUAUGAACGAAAAUAUAUAGGGGGGACUUUAUUUAUAAUAUUAAUUGAACUUACUAAGUAAGUGCAAAUACUUACAUAAAAAUAAUAGACGAGAAGACCCUAAAAAUUUUAAUGAUAUGCACUAUAAGUUUUUGUUGGGGCAACAAAGUAGCAUUUUAACCUACUUUAACGACAUGUCACAUAAUGUAGAUAGAAUAAAUUACUUUAGGGAUAACAGCGUAAUAUUUAUUUGUUUGCGACCUCGAUGUUGGACUAGGGAACGAUUGCUUAGAAGGCAUGCUGUCUUGCUCUGUUCGAGCAUAUUACCCUACAUG
rnacentral:rRNA from 1 species